GAUAGUGGCUCUUGAUAGUAUCAAGUAAAAUAAGAUUACUGGUGUGUUAUUAUAUGAACGUUAGAUUUAUCUCUACAGCUACCACAUGGGAGAUGGUUGCUGAUUGUAAUGAAUCUGUCAAAGCAAAUACAAAAUUAUACGAAAAUAUUUUAACUAUAAAUCAAAUGACAGCAAAUAAAAAGAUUGAUGCAGAAAUACACCCUUUA
rnacentral:lncRNA from 1 species